GAAAUGCGAUAAGUAGUGUGAAUUGCAGAAUUCAGUGAAUCAUCGAAUCUUUGAACGCACAUUGCGCCCCUCGGUAUUCCGUAGGGCAUGCCUGUUCGAGCGUCAUCUACACCCUCAAGCUCUGCUUGGUGUUGGGCGUCUGUCCCGCCUCCGCGCGCGGACUCGCCCCAAAUGCAUUGGCAGCGGUUCCUUGCCCCCCUCUUUGCGCAGCACAUUGCCAUUCGAGGCGGCGGCGGCCCGCGUCCAACAAGCUCAACCCCCCCGUCUUUGACCUCGGAUCAGGUAGGGAUACCCGCUGAACUUAAGC
rnacentral:misc_RNA from 1 species